CCAGCAGCCUCCGGCCUCUUAAUUAUCACAUGGCCGUUAGGAUGGCUGUGUUCUGUGUAAACAUCCCUGUUUUCUCUGGAGGGGACUCUGAUCUGGAGAGCACAGUCCAUAGCCUCGAGAGUCGCUUCCCGGCAGCACACCCAAGGAUAGGGCCGGAGCGCUGUGUGGGGAGCACGCCCUGAGGGCCCUGAUCCUGCCCGAAGCCCUGGCAUUUACCCCGGCAGCCACCCUCACCCUCACACCGCCACAGCGCCUCAGGGCACCAUGGCUGCGCUGCUCCCCUCAGGCCCCGCCUGCCUUGCCACUGCCUCCUGCCAGUCCUGGGCCUGUUUGAGGCAGAAGCUGAGCAGCUGGAGCAGGACUGGCUGCAGCUAAAAUGACAACACUGUGGCUAUAUAAAGAGCUUUAGGUUGCCCUGUAAAAGGAAUUGGGCACUGUUGAACUAGGCAACAAGUGACUGUCCUGGUCAUCAGCUGCACAGCUCACAGGGAACACACCUGGGCCUCUCCAGAGCCAGGAGGACCUCUCUUUCCCAUGGCUGCAACUUCCUCGCUGCAGUGCUUUUACCUGGAUAGCAAAUUUGGAGGGUUUGAAAGUGCAUCAGGAUGUUUUAGGCCCAACUCUCACUUAGCACUGAUCUAGCACAAAGUCAUGGCUGCAGUUCCUGGAUCACACCAGAAGAAGGCAGAACGGACACCCAAUCCAAUACCAUCAGCACCUUCACAGCACCUGCAGGUGCAGUUUUCAACACCACUUUAUGCCCUCUGUCACCUCCCAUGCCCAUGAAGGCCAGCGGAGCCCCAGCCUUGGGCCAUCGACCAGCAAAAGACUGCCCAGAGUUCCAAGCAGAGGCAGCAGAGCCAGGCACCAGAUCUGCACGUGCACUCCUGUGGGAAGGGCACAGGUAUCCCAGGACCCCUCAGAGGUGAGUGCAGGGACAGCAGCUGUGCAUCCCAGCGAGCAGCACUCCACAGGUGCUGCUGUGCACAGCCUCAGGUGCCCAGACAUUCCCCGAGACACAGAAAGAUGCGUGAUUUUAUUUGGUCUCAGAUUAAAUGUAAGUGGCAUGCAGGUGGCUGGGAACCCAAACAUGUGCUUAUUCCUUCACCUCCCCUUAUUUUUUUUUCUCAAGAGAGCACAAAGAUAUUUUAUAUAAGAUAUAAAUAAGCCAUAAAAAAGGGAAGAACUUCUGUAUUGGAACUAUAGAAAAAAAAUAUAUAAAUGCUUUCAAAAAUUGCUCUACCUCAAUUCCUAGACAAGUUUGAUGUGCAGUAUAUGAUUUGUAUGCUAGGAUUGAAUCCAGGCACUUACCACUUUGUUAGCUUAAGAAUUUUGAGCAAUUUUUUCCAUUUAUCUGUAUUCUCCCCAAAAACAUUUCACACAUUUCUCAGAUACAUCAAUCCUUCCGGCAUUCCUCUACGCACUCAGUAGGAUGCCCCGCUAUAAAUAUAAUAAAGCCUUUUAUUAUGUCCAUUAACCACGGACAUGUGUGCUCCAAAAGUUUCCUGACACGCAGUCAUUUGUGGCUUUUUAAUUAUAAACAGAAAAAAAAAAUCUACCAGCAAAAGAAGACAGCAGACUGGAAGUGGAUCUUUAUGUGUGUGUUUUGAGUAUAUUCCCUGACAGGCUGAAGGCAGCCCCACCCUCCUUCCAUCCCCACCAGAAACAGCCUGUGCAGGCACCUACGUGUGCACAGAAAGCCAAGGACACAACAGGUUAGUCUUGGUGACACACAUUCGUCACCUGUACCAGCUCCAGGGGACUGAGGGAGGUUUUCAAGACCUGGUAACACCGAUCAAACCUUUUUUCAAGAGGCAAAUAUGCCCACUCCAUCUUGCAGACCUUGUUCCAGUUGAACUCAGGAGAAAAGAAAAAAGGCCCAGUAAAUUACUUGACAAAUUAAGUCAUAUUUAUUGAAUGCGUUUUAUUUCAACAACCAAAAAAUUCUAACAGCCUAACAAUGCACAUAAGUUAAAAAUUAAUUAUCACUUAGUGAUAACGAAGAUAAAGUUGAUUUACAUGGAAAAAUGAACAUUUACAAUAUGUUAAUCCUUAUUCACAUUGUUGAUACCGCAAUAAAACACAAUUUCUUUUUUUUAUUUUUUAUUUCACAAAAAAGGCGGAAAAUUGUGCUUUGUUAAGAGGCACUACAAGAAAAGUUUCUUUCUCCAAAUAGAUAUUAUAUGAUGGAUAUUGAAUAAAUAGACAUAUAUGCAUUGUAAUUCGCAAAGUUCUGGCAAGACCACAGGCUAAAAUGCCCACAGAUUCACUUAGAACCACUGCAAAAUUGGCAGUGAAAUUAAAAAUAAAAAGGCAAGACUCAGCAUUGAAAAAAUACCUAAUAAAAUUUUUGGUUGAAGUGUAAAAGAUACCAAAUGUUGAUGCCAUCAUCAGAUGAACAACUUACACAGCUUGGCAAAAUUCAGUUUCCUUUCAAAUGUAUGGAGUGAUUUUAGCUACAGGAUAAGAAGACAGUUUUGAAAGCGUAGCUCUGAGAGAAACAUAAAGCAGCAACCAUCGAAAUUCUGAUUAAAGCUGCAGCAUACUACAGAACUAAAGGAUGAAGAGCAAAAGGGGCAUUAAGUAAGCAACCCACCAUAAUUUUGCAAAGGUAUAUGAAAUUUAUGCAGAGAUACUCAUGUUUCAAACAUUAGCUCUGAAAAAAUCUCAUAAAAACUCCAGAGGUUACUGAGCAGCUAGAAUUAGCUUGUAUUGCAACGUCUUCUCCCUGUAUAUUGUCUGUUCUGAGUAAAUAUCUACACGUAGAGGUUUGUUUUUCGUUUUUAACUCCUACCUUUUAUACCUUUCAAAUAUAUAAAUAGUAUUAACAGUUAUAUUACAUUGCCUGGUGUAGUAAACAGAAAGUAACUUUCAAAGUGAUAUUGCAUGAGGUCUUUGUCAAGAUUACAUGAAAAGCCCAUGUGAAAAAAAGGAAGAAAAAAGCCAGAAGCCUUGUUGGUUAUGGCUGCAGUUUACAGGCGUCUGAAAUCGAUCCAGCUGCAAGGUGAGGUCUUUGUCUCGGAAAGCAUUGCACGGAAGUGAGAAGUAAAUGCUACUUGGCGUCUCUCUCGACAGGGUGCCUCAGAGCGGGUGGAUGCUAUGGCAGACUGCAGCUUUGUGCUCAGGCCAUCCAAGAGUCAGUCGGGCUCGGCUCGGCUCUGUGUACCGUGGCUGCCCCCGGGUGCUGCGGAGCGCCGGGGCCCGCAGGGAGCGGGGCUGCGGCUGCGAGCGCUGCGCUGGCACGGACCGCGGGACACGGGGAAACCACAACGGGAACACGGGGAGGCUGCGAGGAGGGCGAGCGGGGAGUCGGCAACGCAAACCCUCGGGCUGUCAGCAAUCUACCUGGACGGGAUUCUCGGGAUUGUGGCAUUUCGUGUCGCAAUGUAACUUUACACGUGUGAGUGUGUGGGUGUGUUUGCGUGUGGGUGUGUGUUUCACUUCAGUAUAAGGAAAAAACAACAACAAGAAGGAAGCUUAUAAAUUUUAAGAUCUGAAACAGAGAACAGGUAAAUAAAAUCCACGGUAAAAUGUGGUUGAUAGUAUGAAUUCCAUACAUCAAAUCUCAACACGUUUUAUCUUUUUUCUCUUUCUAUAAAGACCUUGUUAAUGGUAAAGUCUUCUAUGCACUGCAUUUCAGUUUUAGUCAUUCUGAAUCCCAUGAAAAAAAUCAUCUGUUCACUACGGAAAGGACUAUCUGGAGUGGAACAUGCUGUAUCCUUUUAAGUGUGCAUUGUGUUCAGAGUACUUUUAACUUAACUUACUUGUUUUCUCUUUAAGGUGCCCUGAUUUCUUUUUCCGUUUCCUCUCUUUUUCUCCUCUUUUUUUGGCAGUGUUGAUUUACGUCUUUAAAUACCUCAAAAAUUACCCAUCAAGUUGCCAGAUAGGAAGCCAUAUAAUAAUGAAAAAAAAAAAAAAAA